rnacentral:rRNA from 1 species
AACGAACGCUGGCGGCAUGCCUAACACAUGCAAGUCGAACGAGACCUUCGGGUCUAGUGGCGCACGGGUGCGUAACGCGUGGGAACCUGCCCUUAGGUUCGGAAUAACUCCCCGAAAGGGGUGCUAAUACCGGAUAAUGUCUUCGGACCAAAGAUUUAUCGCCUUUGGAUGGGCCCGCGUUGGAUUAGCUAGUUGGUAGGGUAAAAGCCUACCAAGGCGACGAUCCAUAGCUGGUCUGAGAGGAUGAUCAGCCACACUGGGACUGAGACACGGCCCAGACUCCUACGGGAGGCAGCAGUGGGGAAUAUUGGACAAUGGGCGAAAGCCUGAUCCAGCAAUGCCGCGUGAGUGAUGAAGGCCUUAGGGUUGUAAAGCUCUUUUACCCGGGAUGAUAAUGACAGUACCGGGAGAAUAAGCUCCGGCUACCUCCGU